UACGUAGGGGUCGAGCGUUGUCCGGAUUUACUGGGCGUAAAGCGCGUGCAGGUGGCUCAUUACGCCCGGCGUGAAAGCCCCCGGCUCAACCGGGGAGGGUCGUCGGGGACGGGUGAGCUUGAGGGUAGCAGGGGCUGGUAGAAUUCCUGGUGUAGCGGUGAAAUGCGCAGAUAUCAGGAAGAACACCCGUGGCGAAGGCGGUUCUCUGGGACGGUACUGACGCUGAGACGCGAAAGCGUGGGGAGCGAACAGG
rnacentral:rRNA from 1 species